rnacentral:rRNA from 1 species
AUACAAAAUGACUCUCGGCAACGGAUAUCUCGGCUCUUGCAUCGAUGAAGAACGUAGCGAAAUGCGAUACUUGGUGUGAAUUGCAGAAUCCCGUGAACCAUCGAGUUUUUGAACGCAAGUUGCGCCCAAAGCCAUUAGGCUGAGGGCACGCCUGCCUGGGUGUCACAC